rnacentral:rRNA from 1 species
UCCUGGCGACCAUAGCCGUUUGGAACCACCUGAUCCAUCUCGAACUCAGAAGUGAA